UACGUAGGGUGCAAGCGUUGUCCGGAAUUAUUGGGCGUAAAGAGCUCGUAGGCGGUUCGUCGCGUCGGCUGUGAAAUCCCGAGGCUCAACCUCGGGUCUGCAGUCGAUACGGGCGGACUGGAGUUCGGCAGGGGAGACUGGAAUUCCUGGUGUAGCGGUGAAAUGCGCAGAUAUCAGGAGGAACACCGGUGGCGAAGGCGGGGUCUCUGGGGCCGAUACUGACGCUGAGGAGCGAAAGCGUGGGGAGCGAACAGG
rnacentral:rRNA from 1 species